CCCGGCCCAUUUGCAACUCCCCACCUCCGACGCCGAGUUCUCCGCUCGUCGACGCCCCGCCGCCACCGCUCAACCACCGCGGCCACCGCGCCGACGAGAUGGCGGUGGCCCCGGGCCCCGGCUGGGCUCCGCCUCCCCGACGCUUCCCUGCAGCCGCGGCGCUCCCCUCCGGUUCGGACCCCCUCCCCUCUCGCUCUCCCGCCAAGCAGUUGCGUGUGGUUAGCUGGGGCCUCUCUCUCUCGCGUGGAAACUGAAUCUGCAGCGGGGUUGGGGUUUCCUGAAUCCUGAAUCCUUUGGUUUCCUUGGUUUGUCCGUUUGGGGUUUGGGGCUGCGAACUUGCCAUCAUUUGUGCACAUUAUGUUCGUAGCUUUUCAUCCUUUUGUAACAUAGGAUUACUACGAGGCCUCUACUCAUAAGUCGUAAGUCGUAACUCUAAUCUAUAGUUUUUUUUCGUUCUUCGAUGUGCACGAAUGAGCUCAUCAACCUGUACAUUUCAGAAUUUGAGAUGGCAUAUGUAUCCCUAUGCGGCUAUGCCCCGUAUCCUUCAUGUCCAACCAUUGGAUGUAAUUUUAUGUUUGCCGUCAAGAGCCCAUACGCCAUUGUGCGACUGUCCCAUUCUCUCUCAAUAUAUGUGCCUAUGAUGGAUAGUGCAAAUUGCAGUAUCAGAGACACAUGCUCACACAUGGAUGGGCUCCAUGUGUUUCAAUAAAGUCAUGCAGCUCCCAGGAGGUGUACCAUUAAGUUUUUUGUAAACAGCACAAUUAUCUGAUGUGAUCCAACACAGCAUCAAUAUCAAUACAGUAUGUUGGAGGAGAAUCUUGCUUGCAUUGGAGUAUGCGUAGAGAUCGUCUGUCAUGGAUUUUACUUGUGUUUCUAGGCUCUUGCAGGAAAUCCCCAUGUGAUGUCUUGCCAACUUGCGACGUGAUAACUGCAUGAGGCUGCAACCUGAUGGAAAUCUCUCGCUGUGGCCAAGUGCCAAUCACACAGUAAAAGCACACGCAUGGCCAAAUCUGGAAUGGAGAAAUUUCAAUGCUCUAUGAUAACAUUUUGGAUAUUCUGCAUCGCCUUCUAUGCUUGGAGCUAUCAAUUACAAAAGGGAAAUGAAGGAGAAACAUGGAUUGGUUCCCGGGACAAGACAUGUGAGUCAUUCAAGCGUUGCUGGAGAAGAACAUGGGCUUGCACUGAGGCACAGCCUGCAGAAACAGGGGACAGACGCAAAUGCCUCCACAUUUCUUCGUCAACCAAGCGCUCAUGGAUCACAGGAAAAAUGCACAUACAUGUGGAGCGUGCGGCAUCCACCCGGCCAUGUCACAUACUCGAUCCCUUCACUAUUUAUGUAUGGGAAGAGCUAGUUUAGUUUUCUCCAACUACUUCAUGGAGUAAUUACAUGUGUCAUUCGGAUAAUAGAGAAUAUGGAACAUGACAGCAAAGUUAGUGAGCUGACGGUUCAGUAGAGAAUAUGGAACGUGACAGCAAAGCUAGUGAGCUGAUGGUUCCAAGCUAGGUGAUGAUUUCGUCUCUGUUUUAAAAAAAUAUGUUGGAAUAUUAUGUCUAGAGAUCGGCACAUGUUUUUUUUUUUCCAUCUCCUUUUUGGGUCAUUUUCUGUAAAAUAACAUUGUUUGUCCACUCAUUGGGAGCAAGCGGAAUGCAUGCAUCAUUUAAAAUUCAACA